GUUCCUUAAUACUAUCUGAGAGGCUUGAUUGUUGGUUUCUUGAGACAGGAGCUCAGAUAAGACAAAUAUAACUUUCUAAAGUUUCAAGACUGGGAGGGUCCAUUUCUGUGUUUAUUCACUCUUGUACUUUUUCUUGCUUUUGAUUAAUUUAACCCUGGCUUUGUCUUGACUUAAUUUCAUACUCUCCAACUGGAGGUGGAUGCAGACAUUAGAGGCAGAGACUGGAGACAAAUGGAAAGGGAAAGCAAAUCCAGGCAGUGUUGCUGGUAACCUCGAAUCACUUUCUAUCUCUGUGAAUUUGCCCAUUCUAGAGAUCUCAUACAAGAGUUCUGUAUAUAUUCUCGGAAAUUAAGCCUCAUGUAUUCAUGACUGGAUGACCUCCUCCCUCUUGCCUUCACUGCUUGCCCAAGGCAGAAGUCCCAGGAUAUCACCUCACUGAGCAAUGGCUGGACUAUUUCUGUUCUUAACACCUUGGCCCAAAUUAUUUUAUUAGAUAUUUUAGUAAUGUAUUUGCAUUUUUGCCCCAUUAACAAGUUGUUCACAUAAUUUCUGCAAUUUUAUGUAUGUAUGUUAUAUUUUUAAAAAUUCUGUCAAAAAAAAGUA